GACAGAGGUGCCAAGCGUUAGGCGGAAUCACUGGGCUUAAAGCGUGUGUAGGCGGGUCGUUAAGUGUCUUGUGAAAUCCCCCGGCUCAACCGGGGAAUGGCUGGGCAUACUGGCGAUCUUGAGCAGUCUAGGGGCAGAUGGAACAGACGGUGGAGCGGUGAAAUGCGUAGAUAUCGUCUGGAACGCCAAAGGUGAAGACAGUCUGCUGGGGACUUGCUGACGCUGAGACACGAAAGCCAGGGGAGCGAACGGG
rnacentral:rRNA from 2 species